AGAAUCCCAGGGACGGGGGAGCCUGGUGGGCUGCCGUCUAUGGGGUCGCGCAGAGUUGGACACGACUGAAGUGACUUAACAGCAGCAGCUGUCUUCAGCUCCCUUUCUAGGCACUGGGGAUACAAAGAUGACCCAAGAUGUGUUUCCUGCUCAUAAAGUUUAGAAAACAAAACCAAAACACAUUAAUGCAUAACUGUGAUAAUGGGAAGAAAUGGACUCAUAAAGGAGCAAAUCAUUUCCCAGGGGUAUCUCAUUUCAGCUUUGUGUUAAUAGGAUCUGAAGGGCUUCCCCGGUGGCUCAGUGGUAAAGAAUCCACCUUUCCAAUGCAGGAGACGUGGGUUUGAUCCCUGGGUUGGGAAGAUCCCCUGGAGGAGGAAAUGGUAACCUACUCCAGUAUUCUUGCCUGGAGAAUCCCAUGGACAGAGGAGUCUGGCAGGCUACAGUCCAUGGGGUCGCAAAGAGUCAGACAUGACUGAGCACACAGGCACGCAAAAGCUCAGAAGGCAUUAACAAGGCAAGGCAUGUAAGGUGAAGAGCCAUAAUCAAGGGCAUAAAAGGGUACAAGAGUGUUGGGGGACAGUAAGUCAUCCCAUUCUUUUGGAUGAGGGUGUAGUGAGUGAUACUAAAUCUUACAAGAUAUUUGGAAAGCUUUCAAUCUCAACUACCAAGGCCAACCACUUUCUCCUAAAUUUUAAAGACCUGCCCUUCUAUAUCAUCUCCUACCCAGACCACAGGAAUUUGUUUCCUUAUUGAUAUCUGCUUUCUUCAGAUCCCUAUGAAAAUUCUCUUUUACUUCCCAGCUCAAACUACUGCUCUCUACAGUCUAAAGGAUUUUGCCUGGGCCUACAUCUCACAUUUGAGCAGUAGGUUACUUUUGUUCUCUGUGCUCUUACCUGCAUUUUUCAGAUAUGCAUUGAUCACCCUUAAAUAAUCCACCUAAUCUGUUCACUUUUUUUUUAAUCUGUUCACUUUUGAUUUUAAAAAACGCCUUCAUGCCUGCCCUGUUAAUUGAUGUUCACAGUUCUUUUUGAAGAGCCAGCCAGUUUUGUCCUUAACUCUAGAAGUGAAGUGACUUGCUCAGAGUCAUCCAGUAACUUGUUGACAAAACCAGAAUGAGUACUCAGAUCUUCCAGCCCCACCCUCUGUCUUCCUGUUCUUUCACUGGCCACUCUGCGCUCUUCACUCUGUUAGGUAACAUUUCCAUUUUUAUAGGGAUCCUCUGUACUUGAUGCUUUAGCUCAGGGACUGCUUGGGAGGGGGAAAAGGAAGGGAGGUCUAUCAGGGAGCUCCCUCAUUUUCUCCCCUCCGAAUUUUAUGUGAUUUGUUUAGAGGUAAAAAGGUUUCGUCCCCUCCAUGCAAGUUGGACAGUGCCUUAACCCAAAGGGAGGGCUUUAAUGGUGAAAAUUUCAGGCUCUUAGUAAAUAGAAGAGGUAUUUGGAAUCACGAUUUACUAAUCUGUAAGUAAACCUUGAAUAGGGCUUCCCAGGUGGCUCAGGAACCCUAUUAAUUAAUUGAAGACCAUGGCCAUCAGACUCAGGAGCCUGGCGGUCCAUGGGAUCACAAAGAGUCAGAAAUGAUGAAGCAACUGAGCAUGCGCACAUGCAAGUCCUGAAUCAACUGCUCUAUGCCCAGGUCUGUGUUCAAGGUGCUACUGGAGAGAGAUGAUGCCCCUAGCCCUCAGGUGCCUCAUGUUUUGUCUUGUAUUAAUCUGGAGACACUAAACCCUCAUGAGUAUUAGUAGGUAAGAAUCAAGGAUGGAGAAACAAGUAAAAGAAGGGUAUGGGUAGCAGGUGUGGGAGGACCAGAUUGGUCACCAGAUAUCACUGUGGUCAUACGAGACUUCACAAGGAAGCAAGGAUGACUCUCCAACUUCUCCCUCUAGCCUACAUACUUCUCUUCUUGCCCAGAUCUACAUGUCUAGCUUCUUUCUGGACACUUCUCCUGGAUGGCUCCCAGGCUACCCUUAGGAGCCUUGUCAUUCUCCUCCUCAUUUGCUUCGCUAGGGCUCCCCCUUUACAGUGAAAAAUACCCCCAUCCAUCCACCACACCAGCCAGAAACCUAAGCUUCAUUCUCUCAUCUCCCACAUCCCAUCAGUCUCCAAAUCCCGUCCAUUCUACCUUCUGAACAUUUCACUCUAACCUCCUCUCAAUCUCUACCUGGCUUAGCAUCAGGCUCCUCACUGCUCCCUGCCUCCUCCCUCAACACAAAGCGACCUUUCCAAACCACAGAUGGGAUCACAAAAUUCCCCCGCUUCAAGUCCAUGCAUGAGUCCCCAGUGUCCUAGGAGUAAAUCCCAACUCCUCAGCCACUCCACAAGCCCCUUUCUAACUGCCGCCUCUGGAUUCAAUUUGCCUCCUCCACUCAUCUGACCUCAGUUCUCUCUGCCUGUAUUGUCCCCUGCUCAGGCUUCCAUUCCAUUCCUUAUUUGAGAACCCAGUGGUAAAAGUGCAUUCUAAGGAGCUAUGUUUCAUAGGGGACUCUGAGGGGUAUUUUUAUCCAGACUUUUUCUGCACUAAACAUAUACUGUUCUUUCAUAUUCACAAUGUUUUCAUAUUGUGUUAAGUUUUAGAGAUAUGCAUCAAAAGCUAUUUCUUGACCACUUACUAUAUAUUUGGCCUUAGUUGCUGGGAACAGUAAAGGCAGAUGCAGCCUGAUUAAACAAGAAUUGCCUGGAGCACAUGUUUAAAAUAAAGAUUCCUUGGUCUCUGAAUUUGAAUCUCCAGGGAAGUUCUCAAGUGAAUCUUAGAACUGACUCUGAAUACAUGAGGAAGGAGAGUAGGAGACUGGAGGAAAGGUAAGGUUGGAAGAGGGCAAAAGGAAAGGAGGCGGGGUGGGGGGAUCCAGUGCCCACCGACCCAAUAAACUGUAUCCUGGACUACCUCA